GAUGAAGAACGUAGUGAAAUGCGAUACGUAAUGUGAAUUGCAGAAUUCAGUGAAUCAUCGAAUCUUUGAACGCAUAUUGCGCUCUCUGGUAUUCCGGAGAGCAUGCUUGUUUGAGUAUCAGUAAACACCUCAACUCCCUUUUCUUUUUUGAAAUGGGAGCUGGACUUGAGUGAUCCCAACGCUUUUCUCACCGGAAAGUGGCGGGUUACUUGAAAUGCAGGUGCAGCUGGACUUUUCUCUGAGCUAUAAGCAUAUCUAUUUAGUCUGCCUAAAAACAGAUUAUUACCUUUGCUGCAGCUAACAUAAAGGAGAUUAGUUCUUGUGCUGACUGAUGCAGGAUUCACAGAGACAGCUUCGGCUGACUUUGUAAACUCGAUCUCAAAUCAAGUAAGACUACCCGCUGAACUUAAGCAUAUCAAUAAGCGGAGGA
rnacentral:misc_RNA from 1 species